rnacentral:rRNA from 1 species
CAAUAGCGUAUAUUAGAUUUGUUGCGGUUAAAAGCUCGUAGUUGGAUUUCUGCUGAGGACGACCGGUCCGCCCUCUGGGUGAGUAUCUGGCUUGGCCUUGGCAUCUUCUUGGAGAAUGUAGCUGCACUUGAUUGUGUGGUGCGGUAUCCCGGAUUUUUACUUUGAGGAAGUUAGAGUGUUUCAAGCAGGCACACGCCUUGAAUACAUUAGCAUUGAAUAAUAAGAUAGGACCUUGGUUCUAUUUUGUUUGUUUCUAAAGCUGAGGUGAUGAUUAAUAGGGAUAGUUGGGGGCGAUUCGUAUUUAAUUGUCAGAGGUGAAAUUCUUAGAUUUGUUAAAGACGGACUUCUGCGAAAGCAUUUGCCAAGGAUGUUUUCAUUGAUCAAGAACGAAAGUUAGGGGAUCGAAGAUGAUCAGAUACC